rnacentral:rRNA from 1 species
GACGAACGCUGGCGGCGUGCCUAAUACAUGCAAGUUGAGCGAUGAAGAUUGGUGCUUGCCCCAAUUUGAAGAGCAGCGAACGGGUGAGUAACGCGUGGGGAAUCUGCCUUUGAGCGGGGGACAACAUUUGGAAACGAAUGCUAAUACCGCAUAACAACUUUAAACAUAAGUUUUAAGUUUGAAAGAUGCAAUUGCAUCACUCAAAGAUGAUCCCGCGUUGUAUUAGCUAGUUGGUGGGGUAAAGGCUCACCAAGGCGAUGAUACAUAGCCGACCUGAGAGGGUGAUCGGCCACAUUGGGACUGAGACACGGCCCAAACUCCUACGGGAGGCAGCAGUAGGGAAUCUUCGGCAAUGGACGAAAGUCUGACCGAGCAACGCCGCGUGAGUGAAGAAGGUUUUCGGAUCGUAAAACUCUGUUGGUAGAGAAGAACGUUGGUGAGAGUGGAAAGCUCAUCAAGUGACGGUAACUACCCAGAAAGGGACGGCUAACUACGUG